UACGUAGGGUGCAAGCGUUGUCCGGAAUUAUUGGGCGUAAAGAGCUCGUAGGCGGUCUGUCGCGUCGGAUGUGAAAAUCCAGGGCUUAACCCUGGACCUGCAUUCGAUACGGGCAGACUAGAGUUCGGUAGGGGAGACUGGAAUUCCUGGUGUAGCGGUGAAAUGCACAGAUAUCAGGAGGAACACCGGUGGCGAAGGCGGGUCUCUGGGCCGAUACUGACGCUGAGGAGCGAAAGCGUGGGGAGCGAACAGG
rnacentral:rRNA from 1 species